CGAAGUAUAGCUUCAACACAAAGCAUCCCACUUACACUGGGAAGAUGUCUAAAACAGACUACCUCGA
rnacentral:tRNA from 1 species